AACAGUAUACAUUUUGACUCAGUUAUUUGUUAAAGAAAAGUAUAUUCAAUGAAGAUGAAAUUUAAAAAUUUUAAAAACUAGAGUCUAUCCUCCAGGGAUUGAACAUUUUCCAAUUCUAUCUGGUCUUUUCCGGUUGUGCGAAAAUGACUCAUUGUUCCGAAUGUCAAAAACAAAGAUGACAAACAAUGGUACUUCAUCAUUUCAAGUAAUGUUGCCAAGAGAGAAAAUUUCCUGGGAGGGAGGUUUCCCACAAGCCAAAUCUCCUAAACCUCAAAUGAUAGCACUUUUUGGCAUUUGGAUAGGAAAUAAAGCAUUCUUUGGCAGCCAAAAUGAGGGAGGCCAGUGGUGAAACUUUUUGAGCACUCCAUGGCCUUCUUGUCCAAACCUUCACUGGAGCUCAAGAAAAGCA
rnacentral:lncRNA from 1 species